rnacentral:rRNA from 1 species
AUUGAACGCUGGCGGCAUGCCUUACACAUGCAAGUCGAACGGCAGCACGGGAGCAAUCCUGGUGGCGAGUGGCGAACGGGUGAGUAAUAUAUCGGAACGUGCCCAGUCGUGGGGGAUAACGCAGCGAAAGUUGUGCUAAUACCGCAUACGAUCUAUGGAUGAAAGCGGGGGAUCGCAAGACCUCGCGCGAUUGGAGCGGCCGAUAUCAGAUUAGGUUGUUGGUGAGGUAAAAGCUCACCAAGCCUGCGAUCUGUAGCUGGUCUGAGAGGACGACCAGCCACACUGGAACUGAGACACGGUCCAGACUCCUACGGGAGGCAGCAGUGGGGAAUUUGGACAAUGGACGAAGUCUGAUCCAGCAAUGCCGCGUGCAGGGACGAAGGGCCUUCGGGUUGUAAACGUGUCUUUUGUACAGAACGAAAAAGUACGUUUAAUAACAACUAGAGGCUCAUGACGGUACUAGUAAGAAUAAGACACCGGCUAACUACCG